GCUGCCGGGAGCUGUGAGGAGAGCCGGGCGAGCUCGGGAUCCGCGCCAUGGAUGCAGUGACCUAUGAGGACGUGCAUGUCAACUUCACUCAUGAAGAGUGGGCUUUGCUGGACCCUUUCCAGAAGAGUCUCUACAAAGAUGUGAUGCUGGAAACCUAUUGGAACCUCACUACUAUAGGUAUUUCAUCUGUCACUCAGGAUACAAGCCAUUUGAUCAUAAGGGAUGUGGAAAGAAACAGGGUACCCCUCUCUCUCCUACAGCAAUGAGAAGAUACAUAGCAUUCCCUGCUAUGAGUAGACUUCAUGAAUGUGAUAGGAGUUUACAAGUAAUUGGUGUUCCAACUACAGUUGGAAUACAUCAACCAAUUCAUACUGAAGAAAAGCCUUAUGAGUACAGGGAAUGUGGGAAUUCUUCUGUUUUUCCUGGUUCACUUUGCACGUGUAGUGUGACUCACACUGUAAGAAAAUGUUCCGAAUGCACUCAGGGUGGUAAAGCUCUGAGUUCUUCCAGUUCUGUUCAAAGAUGUGAAAAAACUCACAUGGGAAAAGGAAAUGAGAAACAUGAGCCUUUUACUAAAGGCUUUAACUCUCACAGAUAUCUUCACAUUUACAGAGGAAGCAAUACUGAAGAGGAUCCCUGUGAAUAUAAUCAGUGGGAUAAAGCCCUUGGAUCUGAUUCCUCUUUACAAUUACACAAAAAUUUCACUCAUUUGGAAGUAAAA